ACGGAAGCGCGCUGGGACUGACACGUGGACUUGGGCGGUGCUGCCCGGGUGGGUCAGCCUGAGCUGGGAGGCAGCCCCGGGACACAGCUGUGCCCACGCCGUCCGAGCACCCCAAGCCUGAUGCAGCCACCCCCAGACGAGACCCGCAGGGACAUGGCUGGGGACACCCAGUGGUCCAGGCCCGAGUGCCAGGCAUGGACGGGGACGCUGCUGCUGGGCACGUGCCUUCUGUACUGCGCCCGCUCCAGCAUGCCCAUCUGCACUGUCUCCAUGAGCCAGGACUUCGGCUGGAACAAGAAGGAGGCCGGCAUCGUGCUCAGCAGCUUCUUCUGGGGCUACUGCCUGACGCAGGUUGUGGGUGGCCACCUCGGGGAUCGGAUUGGGGGUGAGAAGGUCAUCCUGCUGUCAGCCUCUGCCUGGGGCUCCAUCACGGCCAUCACCCCACUGCUCGCCCACCUGAGCAGUGCCCACCUGGCCCUCAUGACCUCCUCACGCAUCCUCAUGGGCUUGCUCCAAGGGGUUUACUUCCCUGCCCUGACCAGCCUGCUGUCGCAGAAGGUGCGGGAGAGUGAGCGAGCCUUCACCUACAGCAUCGUGGGCGCCGGCUCCCAGUUUGGGACGCUGCUGACCGGGGCAGUGGGCUCCCUGCUCCUGGAAUGGUACGGCUGGCAGAGCAUCUUCUAUUUCUCUGGCGGCCUCACCUUGCUUUGGGUGUGGUACGUGUACAGGUACCUGCUGAGUGAAAAAGGUAACGCAGGCCGGGCGGGCUAGUCCCGGGUGCCCACGGCUGCUCAGUGCCUCCUGGAGCAGGAGCCCGGAGACGGCGGCUUUGACCUCCCAAAGAAUCCACCAGUGAGGAAAAGCGCUCGGGUGCUAAGCUGUCAGCGGCUCUGCCACCCAAUUCGAUCUGGAAGGUUCCAUCUAGGGCUAAGGCAGACACCCAGGAAGACCUGCUGUGCACAGGUCAAGGCAGGGUGCAGGAGCAGCCGAGUCUUUGGGUGGCCAGGAGGGGGCUCUGGAGGAGGCCAUGGGGAGGGUUGUUCAGAACGGUUCUGAAGGUGAUGCUGCCUGUUAGGUUCCUGGUAGGGAAGGCUACAGGAGGCUGGCGCCAAUGUGCAGUCUGAGGCAUGGACGAGGCCUGCUGAGCCCUCUGGAACCACCCCCAAAUCCCCAAUCCUUUGGCAACGGAUGGCGCCUCCCGCCCUGAUAGCCAUCACUUUGAAACCGUUGCUCCCUUAGAUCUCAUCCUGGCCUUGGGUGUCCUGGCCCAAGGCCGGCCGGUGUCCAGGCACAGCAGAGUCCCCUGGAGACGGCUCUUCCGGAAGCCUGCUGUCUGGGCAGCCAUCGUCUCCCAGCUCUCUGCAGCCUGCUCCUUCUUCGUCCUCCUCUCCUGGCUGCCCACCUUCUUCAAGGAGACCUUCCCCGACGCCAAGGUGAGUCGGGGGCUCCCGCAGGGUGAAGGAGCCCCCAGAAGGCACGAGGCUUGAGCUGCACCAGGCACCGUGGGUCCUUGGCCUGCAGAUGGCGGAACCCUCGGCUCCUCCUGGUCUCUGAGGGUCCUGGCACUGCCAGGCUCUUCCUCUGGAGAGGACCCCGUCCAUGCUCGGGGCAGGUUUCUGUGUUUGAGGCUGGAAAUGAUGCAGGUGUUUGGUGCCUUCCUGCUGCGGCUGCAGCCCUCCAGCCCUCACCGGUGACCUGCUGGCCCACAGAACCCGACUUCAGAGCCUGAGGAGGCCGGUGCAGAAGCCGGGAUGUGGACAGAGGGGUCACCUGCGGGCUGGAUCUUCAACGUGGUGCCUUGGUUGGUGGCGAUUCCGGCCAGUCUAUUCAGCGGGUUUCUCUCUGAUCAUCUCAUCAAUCAGGGUUACAGAGCCAUCACGGUGCGGAAGCUCAUGCAGGGCAUGGGCCUUGGCCUCUCCAGUGUCUUUGCUCUGUGCCUGGGCCACACCUCCAGCUUCUGUGAGUCUGUGGUCUUUGCAUCAGCCUCCAUCGGCCUCCAGACCUUCAACCACAGUGGCAUUUCCGUUAACAUCCAGGACUUGGCCCCGUCCUGCGCCGGCUUUCUGUUUGGUGUGGCCAACACCGCCGGGGCCUUGGCAGGUGAGGGGCGGGCCUCUGCGCCCAGGAGUUCCCCUGUCUGUGGGGUUUGAGCCCACCGAGGUGCUGCAGAGUGGGGGUGUGCUUCCCUUCAGAGGGGGUCCCGGUGUCAGAGGAGGGCGCAGACCCCAGAGCAGGCCCAGGAGAGGAGGAUGUGGCUGCCUUCCAGGUUCCACUGGACUUUGCUGAUGGCAGGUGGCUCAUGGGUCGCCAUCUGCCCUGAUUCACAGAUAUGUUCCCAUCCUGGUAGCCCAGGGUCCCCGGGACACCGCCUGGCCCCGCUGAGUGCCGUGGAUGAUGGGGGUCCUUCUCCAGCUCAGCCUUGCCUGGGCCGGCCUGUGGCUCCCAUUUCCCCUUCAGUGGGACAAGGGGGACUUGUUACCAGGCCAUUUUCUGGAUGGCCUAUGAGAUCUCUGCCCCUCCAAGACCCUCCAAGUCUGAGCCUGACCCACAGCUGGGACACCGAAUUCAGCCCUGGGAACCAUGGGGGCUUCUGUCUAUCAGGCGCUAGACCCCCAGCCCUUCCCCUGGCACUACCCUGGGAACCAGGGUGGGACGUGGGGCCUGGGCUGCCCGGGAGUGCUCAGCCCACCUGGGCCUCUUUUGGGCAGGUGUCGUGGGUGUGUGUCUGGGCGGCUACUUGAUCGAGACCACGGGCUCCUGGACUUGCCUGUUCAACCUUGUGGCCAUCAUCAGCAACGUGGGGCUGUGCACCUUCCUGGUGUUUGGACAGGCCCAGAGGGUGGACCUGAGCUCCACCCACGAGGACCUCUAGCUCCCAACCCCACAGCCUCUCCAAGGACCCAGGCACCAGCAGCCCCGGGACAGAGGGGACUCAGUGUGUGGGACUUGGUCACUCCAUGUUAGACACACGAGCAGAGAGGAACGCAAACCACUGUGGAGCCUGAAGCUGCUGAAGGAGAGUCCACACCAGUUGGCGGGAGGGUGGGGUGGGCCUGGGUCCAGACCAGGCUCGCUGCUCUCUGGGCCUCAGUUUCCCCACCUGCCAGCGGGCUCGGCCCUGUCCUUACAGGCUGGUGUGGCCGUCAGGGUGAGUGGGGUUAUUGUUAGUAGGCGCAGCCUCAUUCCCACCACGAUCUGUUCCGCGUGGUUCCCGCCAAGCCUCCCGCGGUUGCCGUGCUCUCCGCAAGCCUCUUGCAGCGCCCGCCUGCUAAUGUGAGGCUGGCACCAGGCUGCAGCCUCCCCAAUCCCAGCCCAUUUUGCUGUGUCUCUGGCGGGCUGUCCUCCUUAGUGGGAGCUGUCCUGUGCACUGUAGGAUGCUUAAAGGUAUCCUUGGCCUCCACCCACCCCUUGCCAGCAGCACCUACUCUCCCUCCUCCCAGUCAGACAACAGCCAGAAAUGUCUCCAGACUCUGCCCAUCCUCCCCGGGUAGCCACCCUCGAGACAUGACCUCAGAGUCUCUGUGUCUCCCAGCAGCCUGACAGAGACCCCCAGGGCAGUGGGUGGGUGGCGGGCUAGAGACCCUUGCCCGUUUCUGGGACCCUGGUGCCGCUCUCCCCUCCUGUGGAUCCCUCCGCACUAACAGUGUUCUCAGUGGGCAGACGCCUGGGCACCCCUUGGGCCUGCCCAGCAUGGCCAUGGCGCAGGCUCUGGAACCCACACGGCUUUCCCAGACCUGGUGAUUCUGCUCUCCAGGGACGGUUGGCACCUUCCUCAGGGGCGGGCCCCACGCACCCCAGAACACACAGACCCACCUUUCUGGCGUUCUUUCUACCUCCCUUUUCAUUGCCUGAGGAGCUGGUGGUUUCAUGAGUUAAUGAUACAUCUUGCAAGGUGUACACAUAGAGAAAAAAACCUAAAAAUGUGGAAAAGCACGCCAAAGCCUUAUUUAAAUAAUAACUAUUAAACUAUUCAAAAAGAA
rnacentral:sRNA from 1 species